rnacentral:rRNA from 1 species
GACAGAGGGUGCAAACGUUGUUCGGAUUUACUGGGCGUAAAGCGUGUGUAGGCGGCUUGGCAAGUUGGAUGUGAAAGCCCACGGCUCAACCGUGGAAGCGCAUCCAAAACUGCUUCGCUCGAGUCUCGGAGAGGAAGGUGGAAUGCUUGGUGUAGAGGUGAAAUUCGUAGAUAUCAAGCGGAACACCGGUGGCGAAGGCGGCCUUCUGGACGACAACUGACGCUGAGACGCGAAAGCGUGGGUAGCAAACAGG